CUCUCCAUUUCUCAGUAAUUAGUUAGUGUUUUAUUUUUAUUAUUAAUUACUUUAGACUUUAAGUGUUGCAUGUUCAUAAUAUAGUAUUAUUUUUGUUGAUUUUUCCAUGUUACUGGUUGGAUGUUUCUCGCCAUUCACGAUAAUUUUUCCAUGUUCAUAAUUAAAAUAAUUCGCGUAGUCCACAAGAAUUUGAUUUCAAGAAAUCUUAUUUAAUUUUUUUUAAUAGUUUUCCAUCUUGAUUUUUUUAAUAAAUUUCACUAAGUGAUUAAUAAUAUAAAAAUAAAUUAACUCCGUAUUCUUCUAAGUUAACUUUGUCAAUCUAGUAUUUCACAUGUUUUAUUUAUAUUUUCAAUUUUUUUUUAUAAAUCUUAGUUAUAUUUUUUUUUAUGAGUAAUAUUAAUUACUUAUAAUAAUUAUUUUUAUCAAACAUGUUCAAAUCAAAUAAGACAAAAUCAUUAAAACGAAGUAAUACUCACACAUACUCAUGCUUCAACGGUUGAAAAUAUAUUCACGUAUCUCAAAGUAUAUUUUCGCACAUCUUCCCCAAGAAAUAAGAAAACACAUCCCACAAGAAAUGCAUAUCACGCCUUUCAACAUAGCCAUUAACAACUUUUUUCACGAAAUAACCCUUGUGAUUUAAGGCAAAGAUCAGAACUUCACAUCACAAAAAAUAUGUGUCAUGCGUAUGCAAGGAUGUCUUAAAAAUCCUUUUUUAAUAUUUAAAAAAAAAAUCUUUUAGUAUGUCCAUAAAAAGCCUUCACCUUUUCAUUCACACUCAUAUUCCCAUCCAUCUGAAAAAAUAAAUUUCUUCUUUACUCCAAACCCCCUUCAUUUCUUAUUCUCUGGUUUUUCAUUAAAUCCACCUCUUUCGUGUCGAUUUUUCUUCAACAUUCAAAUUCUUCGAUUUUUUCCAAUUUAUAGAUUAAACAUUCAACCAAUGAUCCAUUAGUGUCAACCACUUUAAAACUACUAAGCAUCUACAAUAUACCCCAAGUUUGAUAUUCAUUCAAAAUAUUAUAAAGAAAUAAAUCCAUAGAACAUCAAAGAAAACGUCAAGUAGUGCUUAUACUGUCUAUAGAAUUUGUUUACAUUAAAAACUUUUUAUUUUUUCAUUCUUUUUUUGGUUCUCAACAUAAGUUGUAUGUAUAUUUGCAUAUUAAACUUUAUUGUUCAUGUUUUAUUGAUUUGUUUCAAUAGAUGAGUUCCAACACCAACGGCCUGUUUGGUUAGUGGGUACUACAUGGCGGUAAUGGGAAUGAUUUAUAGUGUAAAGUUUAUCUCCAUUUUCUUAAAAUCUUCUUUUUCAAAUUCGGUAUAGGUUUGGGAAUAAUUUCGUUAUUGGAGUUUUUAGUUGUUACCUCAAAGUCUCCAAUUUCGAUGACUCUCCAAACUUGAUAAUUUUCAGCUUUAAUGAAGAUCACCAUCCUAUUCUUCCAAUAUGUGUAGAAUUUUCCAUCAAACAUGGGUGGCCUUUGAGUAGAGUACCUUUCUUCCCUUCGUUCAUUCAUUAUCGACAUCUCUAAAAAUACUAGGAUAUUGCUCUCAGGGUUUCCUGAUCAAAUUAGAAACAGGGCUCUGAUACCAAUUGUAGACUGUUUUAGAGAUGGGAACGACAACCAGAAGGGGGUGAAUUGUUGUUUUAAUAAGUUUAAGUAUUUAAGCCCUGUUUUUGUGGAAUUAGAUAAAAGAAACAAAACUUAAACUUAGAGCGAAAUAAUGAAAGCGACAAUACAAUUUUACGUGGAAACCUUUAAGCCUAAAUAGAAGGAAAAACCACGACCCCUCGGGAUUUCAAAACUUCACUAUGUUUAAGGCAACUCUUUACAAUUACAUUAAACAUCUUACUUCACUCGAAGCAUUCUCCACUAGGCCAACUUCUCUCUUCAAUUGCUUCACUCAAAGCAACUCUCUUAGCUUUACUCCAAGCUAAUUUCUUCUCUAGCUUCACUAGAAGCUAUCUAAUCCUCCUCUAGACUCACCUGAGUCUAGUUAUAAUAAUUCACUCAAAAACCCUAUUACAAGGAUAAAUUUUCUAAAGAUAAAAUCAAAGAGUUGCACAAGAAAAUAUUAUAAGCUAAUUGGCAAUUUUUUAACAAAAUAUUUCUUGUUGAUUUUCCAAAAAUAACGUAUGAAUUACCAAGGCUCAUAUGAAAAACAUUAUUUGAGGAACAACCGAAUCUCUAUUUAUAGAGUUAAAGUCCUUAAUAAAAAGGAGGUAACUACCCACUAAUCCCGUAUCCCAAAUAAUAAGGAGAAUAAUAUGGAUCUUAAAGACUAAGGACAAAACACACUGUUAUUGCUUUGAAUAAGUAUACACUUGAUUAAAUCAAAGCCACGGUUUUCUUAAUAUUAGCUACCGUUCCCUUUUACUAACAAUAGACAAAUUAGUUAUAUUUUCCCUAUACUAAUAAUAGCUUACAAUUCCCUUUAACUAAAAUUAGCUACGAUUCCCUUUUCCAAUAAUAUGUGCUGUUACCUUUAACUAAUAAUAGGUGUGGUUCCUAUUUACUAAUAUUAGGGACGGUUACCUUUAACUAAUAAUAACUUAAUAUCAGCUGCUGUCCCUUCACUAUAUUUAGCCAAUUUGGUUAUUCACUAAAUAUAGAUCCGAAAUAAAAGCCUAAUAAAAAGAGUUUAGAAAAUCACACGUUAAGUGGUUAUAAAAUAUUUUGCCAAUUAACUUAAUAAUUUAAAUAAUGCAACAAAUUAAUUUUCACUAAUACAUCAACUAAAAAUCAGAAAAUAUAAUAAUAAUCAGAAUUCGAGCAAACGUCUUAUCUCCUGACUUCAGUCUGGGAACAGUGCACAAUCUCCAAUUUCCAGCAGCGUUAGAUCAUCAAACUUGGGAACAGUGGACCUCCUGUCAACAUUUGACAUCCUUAGCGAUAUACCUUUUCUAACUUCUUUGGAUUCCUUUGACGAGUACAUGUUCAUAGAUACAGUCAUAGGUACUAUCAAUGAUCUUAAUCACGACCGGAUAUUGACCUGCAAACAAUCUCAAAAAAUACAUUUGUUUAUAUGAAGUAUAGUCAUCAUCAAAACCUAAGAAGUAAAAAAAUUCCCCCUUUUUGAUAAUGACAAACGUUUAAACAAACUUAAAUAAAAUAGAGUAAAAUCAAUAUUAUAGAGCAUGCUAGAGAUUAAAGCUACUCUACAUAACUUAGUAAAUUAACUCGUUACAAUAUAAUUUACCAAGCAUAUAUUAAAACAGAUUACUCUAACAAUUAGAAUUAUUUAAAAUAUCCUAAGCAUAAUCAGAGCAUUGGAAGUAGUUUAUUGCUUAAGGCUUUAAAUAAAUCUAAAGUAACAUAACAUAGCUUACAAAGAUCCUUAGACUAAGCAUAAUCAGAACAUUAUCAUAUCACUGAGUAUUAGAGUAAUGAUAAUAAUGAGCACCAAAGUAUAAUUAAUCCAAGCAUAAGUCAUGAUAACACUAAAUACUAAAGUAGAUAAUCAAAACAUGUGUUAAUCAUUCAAAUAAGACUCUGAGUGUCCAAAAUAAUAGAGCAAGCUUUUCAUAUUUCAAAUAGCAACCAUAAUAAUCAAAAUGUCCAUAAAUUACCCAAUAUCAAUGAUCAGAGCUAAUUCAAAAUGAAGUAGAAUAGCUUAAUCAAAAUAAUUAGAGCUUGACUAAUUAGUAUUUCAGGGUCAGAACAUAGCUUUACUAAUUAAUUAACCAUAUUCAUCAGAGUAUACACUAGUGGAAAAAAACGUAUUUGCUGCGAUUUUUGUAUAUACGCAACAAUAAAUCAGAAAAAUAAUAAGAAAAAAAAAACCAAUUAAUUGCUGCGGUUUUGAAGUGUGACCGCAGCAAAUACUCAGUAGCACAAUUAAUUGCUGCGGUUACGCUUAGGGCCGCAGCAAAUAAGUAUUUUUUUAAAAAAAAGUGAAGAAAAAAAUUAAAGGCAGGCAGACAAGGCUCGGCGCCUCGUGUAGAUCUUCGCGGCCCGCGGAGUGCUUCUGACCCAAUAUAACUGCUGCGGUUAAUGUAUCGCCCGCAACAAAUAAUGCUUCAUGAAUAUAUGCGUAAUCUUAAUUGCUGCGGUUAAGCUAAAGGCCCGCAGCAAAUAUACUCUGUUGUAUACUCUAUUUCAGAAAAUUAAAAUUAAACCCGCCAUUUACUUCAUUUCACAAACUGCUACGAUAUUGUGUUGUAUACUCUCAAGCAAACCCACCAUUUUCACCAUUCAACAAUUCAUUCUUCAUCUUCAUUUUCUUCUAAAAACCAAAAAUUCUUCAUCUUCAAAACUCUAUUUCAGAAAAUUAAAAUUAAACCCGCCAUUUACUUCAUUUCACAAACUUCUACGAUAUACUGUGUUGUAUACUCUCAAGCAAACCCACCAUUUUUGCCAUUCAACAAUUCAUUCUUCAUCUUCAUCUUCUUCUAAAAACCAUAAGUUCUUCAUAUCCAAAACCUGUUUCAAACCCACCAUUGAAAAACACUCGAAAAAUUGAGCGAUUGACUGUGUCUUCAAAGUUGUUCUUCAUCUUCUUGGUUCAUAAACCCACGAAAUUUGGUCUUGUUCAUCUUCAAAACCCACGACAUUAAGAUAACAUAACUCACGAAAUCAAGGAUGACAAAAGAUCGUUCUUGGAUGUAUGGAAGCAUUGAAUCGUCGGAAUUUAUUGAUGGCAUAUUAGAAUUUUGUAGUAUUGCUGUUGAACAUCAAGUUAG